GAUGAACGCUGGCGGCGUGCUUAACACAUGCAAGUCGAACGGAAAGGCUCCUGCUUGCAGGGGUACUCGAGUGGCGAACGGGUGAGUAACACGUGGGUGAUCUGCCCAGCACUUCGGGAUAAGCCUGGGAAACUGGGUCUAAUACCGGAUAGGACGAUGGUUUGGAUGCCAUUGUGGAAAGUUUUUUCGGUGUGGGAUGAGCUCGCGGCCUAUCAGCUUGUUGGUGGGGUAAUGGCCUACCAAGGCGUCGACGGGUAGCCGGCCUGAGAGGGUGUACGGCGACAUUGGGACUGAGAUACGGCCCAGACUCCGACGGGAGGCAGAAGUGGGGAAUAUUGCACAAUGGGCGCAAGCCUGAUGCAGCGACGCCGCGUGGGGGAUGACGGCCUUCGGGUUGUAAACUCCUUUCGCUAGGGACGAAGCGCAAGUGACGGUACCUGGAGAAGAAGCCCCGGCUAACUACGUG
rnacentral:rRNA from 1 species